GCCCUAUGAUAAUCCAGAAGCUCUGCUCCUAGAUUUUAGCACUUGUGUAUACAGGAUUGCUGGGCUGGAGCAUGUAGGUGACUCUUCAAAUCCAAAUGUUAGGAAAGGCUUUAUGAUCUCUGAUUCAAAUGUUAGGGAGAGAUCACAGUGGCUGGGUUUCGGUAAUAUGCUUAAGCACAUUCAGGUGCAUAGCAUUGGAUUAUUCAAGGCCAACUUUGGAGUUCAAGGCUCAGUUUUUCUGUGUUCUUCCUCUUUUGAAGUCUUUCAACUUCCAUAUCACUUUAUUGAUGUCUGAAGAUUCUGGAAGGAUGGAGCAAGCAAACUAAAGAAGGAAGGGGGAAGACUUUAUUCCACCCCUGACUAGAAAAUGCUCUCUGAACAACACCCCAGCCAGACCUUAGCUGCAGGAGCUUAAGAUGCAGAACUUUACCUUGCUGUGAAAUUUCAUCCUUUUCAUUUCAACUCACUGCUCUCAAUAUUUUCCUCCAAGCUGAAGUUGAGACAUUAAUGAAUGCUUUGAGUACUCCUACUGCCAAUUCUUUGAAUUAAAUAAGGAAAAAUAGAUAUCAUACAAUAUCCAUAUUUGAUAGACCCUAAAACCACAACAAAUCAAUGCAACUACUUUACCUAAUACUGAUGAAUCAGGAGGGACUGUCUCACCAGAGCCAUCUCGGAUUAUUUCUUUCAACACUCCUCUGUCAGCAGUAAUAUUCUGCAUACGGUGACCCAACCACUGCAGCCAUACCUGGAAGGAUUUUACGGAGCAGACGCUUCCACACCAUCAUCUUUACAUCCUCUUGAUGGAAGUCAGGCUUAAAAGAAACCGCACUGUACAUGCCUUCGGUUGGGUGCUGAUAGGAAAGUUCAGACCUGGGCAUCCUCAACCCCAUGCCAUGGACCGGAACUUGUCCGUGGCCUGUUAGGAACCAGGCCAUACAGCUGGAGGUGAACAGUAGAUUUUGGACUUCUCCACCAAAAGUGACAAGAAAAGCGUCUCUGCCUUUAAUUCUUUCGAACAGAGAGCUUCUGGAGUUGAUGGCCCUCUGUUCAAGCAAAGAUCUCCAGAAAACAAACUGCUGUGACCGCCCCCUUUUCAGUCAUGUGCUUAUCCUUGGCACUUGUAGAGGCAACUCCCAGCUACAUCGCUGAAUGACCAAUGUAUUCUUGGAAAAUUGAAGAUAAACAAACCCACACAAGUUUUUCCCUUGAAAUGUUCACCUUGUAGAACAGAUUUCCUUGUCCUAUUCACCAUAAUAUAUGUAGAUAUUCAUAUGCCCUUUCUUAGUCCUCAUCAUAUUUCUGAAAUUUGACACUGAAAAGCCAUACUGAAUGACUUUGAAGGACUUUAUGAAUGAUGAAAGACUUUAAUGACCUUUCUUUAGAUUUACAUUUACAAUAUGUACAUUCAUUAAUAUCCCCAUCCCCUUAACAAAAAACUUUGACAUUAUCAAUCCUUCAUAUCUAGGAUCUGCCUUUUGGCUUCGUAGCUUGGGUGGGUUUUAGCCAGUACGCACCGAUACACCCCCGUUCAUGAAAUUUAGUGUGUCUUCUCAUACCCAUUCUUCCAGACGCCCCAUAUCGGAAUACUCCCUCCCCUGGCCUGCCCCCUUGCUCACUUCCCCUGCCCGCCCAGUCACCACUUGCUCGCUCACCCCACCUGAACGCACUAGGCUUGCCCUGCCCAACCACUUCCUUUGCCGGAGCGGACGAUUGGGAGAAGGCCACAUGGCACGCGCUCCUUCUCUUUGACAGCCGCCUGGUUUCCAAUGGGGUUGUGGGGGAUAAAUACAUGUUUUUCUUCCCUCUGCAUGGAUUUUCCCCCAAAUGGAAAUGAGGCGGCUGUCAAAAAGAAGGAAGCACGGGCUUCUUCAACAGCUGAGGAAGGAACAGGAGCAGAGGACUCGCCCAUCCCGCCAGGUUCCCUCAGGUCUCUGCGCCUCCCAGAAACAGGGGGUCAAAGGAGGGUCCCUCCCUUUCCUGGGAUCCUCCAGGGAAGGGCCAGGGACCGAACUGGACCUCGUUCUGGCCGCCGCUUCUCUCUUGCUCUCCGUCGCAGGAGCCAGGCAGGACAGCGGGUGCUUGCGCAACCUCUUCCAGCGCCUUUGGUGCCUGAAGCCCACGGGGGCAGCCAAUCUUGGCUGGCCUGAGCACCAGCCCUCCUUCACCCACAGCUCCAGUGCAGAUGACCCCGGCACAGCCCCCGCUCACCCACCAGAGAAAGGCAAAGCCCCAGGAGAGGCGGGAUGGUCAGUUGAGUCGGAUUUGCAGAACUGAGGUAGGGAAGAAGAUCGUGAGAUGUGGAGCCACAGACUCCCCCCUUUCCCCCCACCCCACAGCUCACCUCCUUGGGUAGGACCAGGGAGCGCACGGGAUGACUGGAGUUUGUGGCCAAUUUCAAAGUGAAUGGGGCUGUUUGUGACGAAAUGGGACAGAGAACAUAGAGGGAUGCAAGGGAAC